rnacentral:rRNA from 1 species
AUGACGGGGGUGGUGGUGGUCUCCACGGGGUGCAAGGGCGGAAGCGUGGGGAAGAAGAGGGGCGGCGGGGAGGAGGCGGAGGAGCGGGAGAGGCAGCAGCUGUCGGUGCUGGCGCUGCUGCUCGCGGCCGUGCGGAGGUCGGUGGUGGCUUGCCGGGUGGAGCGGGGGCCGGACCGCGUCGCCGGUGGCGGCGGCGGCUGCCGCUGGGGGGAGAACGACGAGGACGCGGCCGCCCCCGAGCUGGCGGAGAUGGAGAUCGGCUGGCCGACCGACGUCCGCCACGUCGCGCACGUCACCUUCGACCGCUUCCACGGCUUCCUCGGCCUCCCCGUCGAGUUCGAGGUGGAGAUGCCUCCCCGCGUCCCCAGCGCCAGUGCGAGUGUUUUCGGUGUCUCAGCUGAAUCAAUGCAAUGCACCUACGAUGGUAAGGGAAACUCGGUCCCCACGAUACUGCUGCUUAUGCAGGAGAGGUUGUAUGCUCAGGGGGGGCUAAAGGCUGAAGGGAUCUUCCGCAUAAACCCGGAGAAUGACCAAGAAGAGCAUGUGAGGGAUCAACUGAACAAAGGAGUUGUUCCUGAGGACAUUGAUGUUCACUGCUUGGCAAGCCUCAUUAAGGCAUGGUUCAGGGAACUUCCUGAAGGUGUGCUGGAUAGCCUCUCCCCGGAGCAGGUUCUGCAAUGCAAUUCUGAAGAGGAAUUCCUAGAGCUUGUGACGCUACUGCGCCCCACUCCAGCUGCACUCCUCAAUUGGGCUGUUGAGCUAAUGGCUGAUGUUGUGGAGGAGGAGCUAAACAAGAUGAAUGCUAGAAACAUAGCCAUGGUAUUUGCCCCCAACAUGACUCAGAUGUCAGAUCCUUUGACAGCCCUGAUGCAUGCUGUGCAAGUCAUGAACUUUCUCAAAACAUUGAUCUUGAGGACGCUUCGAGAGCGUGAUGAUGUAGCUCCUGGAGAUUACACUCCAUACUCAUCUCCAGCAUCUUCCGGUCGGCAUUCUGAUGCCGAAUACUAUGGCAGUGAGCGGGAGAUGAUGGACAGAAGCUGUGAGCUGAGCGAUAUGCACAGCCAGAUCAGCAAGUCCGGGGGGCAGGUGGAUUAUUUGGUGAGGUACAACACCUGUUUCGACAGCGAACAGGAAGGCGACCAUCCCCUCACCGAAGCUGAAGAGGUAUUCUUGGAUCGGCUGGAAAGCCAACUCGAAGACGACAGACCAGAGGGAAGCACAAACAAGCAGCGCGAAGUAAGCUCCGAGAUUGUGGAAAUGGAGGACGAUCAACCUGAACUGAAAUCUGAAACCAAGGCACUGGAGGACAUACAUGAAGAAGAAGAAGAAGGUGCAGAGUUAUUGAAAUGA